AAUCCUGACACAGGGAGGUAGUGACAAGAAAUAACAAUACAGGGCUACUUCUAGUCUUGUAAUUGGAAUGAGUACAACUUACAUCUCUUCACGAGGAUSAAUUGGAGGGCAAGUCCUGGUGYCAGCAGCCGCGGUAAUUCCAGCUCCAAUAGCGUAUAUUAAAGUUGUUGCAGUUAAAAAGCUCGUAGUCGGAUUUCGGGUCGGGCCGAGCGGUCUGCCGAUGGGUAUGCACUGUUUGGCGCGGCCUUCUUUCCGGAGACCGCGGCUACUCUUAACUGAGCGGGCGUGGGAGACGGAUCGUUUACUUUGAAAAAAUCAGAGUGUUUCAAGCAGGCAGCUCGCUCUUGCAUGGAUUAGCAUGGGAUAAUUGAAUAGGACUCUGGUGCUAUUUUGUUGGUUUCGAACMCCGGAGUAAUGAUUAACAGGGACAGUCAGGGGCACUCGUAUUCCGUCGAGAGAGG
rnacentral:rRNA from 1 species